rnacentral:rRNA from 1 species
GGGCCCGCACAAGCGGUGGAGCAUGUGGUUUAAUUCGAUGCAACGCGAAGAACCUUACCAAGGCUUAAAUGUAAUAUGACCGGUUGAGAGAUCAACCUUUUUUCGAACAGAUUACAAGGUGCUGCAUGGUUGUCGUCAGCUCGUGCCGUGAGGUGUCGGGUUAAGUCCCAUAACGAGCGCAACCCCUAUUUUUAGUUACCAGCGAGUAAUGUCGGGAACUCUAGAAAAACUGCCUGUGCAAACAGAGAGGAAGGUGGGGAUGACGUCAAAUCAUCACGGCCCUUAUGUCUUGGGCUACACACGUGCUACAAUGGUUACUACAAUGUGAUGCCAUCUGGUGACAGAGAGCUAAUCAAUAAAGGUAAUCUCAGUUCGGAUCGGAGUCUGCAACUCGACUCUGUGAAGUUGGAUUCGCUAGUAA